UCAAUGUAAUGAUUAGGAAAUGAUUUGGAAAAAUUUAGAAACGCUUUUUCAUAAUUUGGAAACAAAUAGUUAUUCAGUAAUUAAUAAAAAAACUGUUGGACCGUAUACUUGGCAAACAUUAACCGAAAUUAAUAAAAUUUCACUUUAAUUGAUGUAGGACAAUUUGGAAAUAAUAGUGAGAAUGUUUUUUCCAUUUGGAAAUGUAAUAUUGCAUCGAAAAUUAAUAAAAAAGGAAUGAAGUUAUUAUUGUUCAGGAGUCACGUGACCGAGUCUUCCCCUUCCCAUCACUUACUCCAUUUACGUAUAAAAAAAGUGAGGUUAUGUCCCUCUCGCGGACUUGAAUGUUCCCCUGUAACGUACCUUCAAACAAUCUCCUGAAAAUUAUGAGUAAGUGGUUGAAUGAAAAAUUGACGACAUUUAAAAACAAAAUCACUGGACCCCUGAUAAAACAUGAAAGGAUUUAUAGAGAGGCAGACAGUGUCGGAGUGUUUCGUUGCUGAAAUCUCUAAGCAUCAGAAGCCCAAAGCCCCCAGGAAAGGAAAAUCCAUGGAGAUGAAAUACUAAAAAAAACCCUCCCAAUUCCCUAAAAUCAAAACUAAAAAAGCUGGCGAAAUCUCCGAAAAAUGAAGACAGAUAACAGAUAACUGGCAGGAGACGUUCGAGCUCUCCAGUGGACGAAAUGGGCUGCCACAAAAGUGGUCGGACGAAAAAGCGAGUCUUUCAGAUUUUCGAUUCCAGUUGCUGCUAGAUCUUGUGUUGAUCAGUCAAACAAAGGAUUAGCCCGAAGUCCAGUAUAUUAAGAAAAAUCUCUAAAGUCGAAUUAGCUGAAAACACUCGAGGUUCACUGAGAAUUGAAGUUUUUGUAGCCAAUAGUUCGGGGGUCCAAGUUUUCACACAAAAAUCACCUGAGAGAAUGCCGAGAUUGAACUCCGCCUCUCAGGAGCUUCAGAGGGAAACGAAGAGUUUUGAGAAUGCCCAUGGCUCCAAGAGCUGACAAAAAAUGCAGUCAUCCACAACGCCCUCCCCAUCGGGGGAGAGUAUUGAUGGUCAUAGGAUGAGUGGAGUUGGAGUAAAACAAAUAACAGCAGACAAAAAAUUGACGAAGAAGGCGCAGUUUAAGCAGGAGAGACCUAUGAACAAAAUCAAGGGUCAGACCAAAAAGAAACUAACAAUAGAAAUUAAUAGAAAAAUCUGUACUUUAUUUUGUAAAUAAAAUCAUUUCAUAUCAA